rnacentral:rRNA from 1 species
UACGUAGGCAGCAAGCGUUGUUCGGAAUUACUGGGCGUAAAGAGUGUGUAGGCGGUGCUCCAAGUUUGGUGUGAAAUCUCCCGGCUCAACUGGGAGGGUGCGCCGAAUACUGAAUGACUUCGAGUGCGGGAGAGGAAAGUGGAAUUCCUGGUGUAGCGGUGAAAUGCGUAGAUAUCAGGAGGAACACCGGUGGCGAAGGCGGCCUGCUGGGCAGUAGCUGACGCUGAUGCGCGACAGCGUGGGGAGCAAACAGG